rnacentral:lncRNA from 1 species
UGAUGUAUAAGAGUGGUGGUCAGCCGAAGGCGUGACUCCACGGAUUUACAAAGCUUGGAAAAUGGUAAUUUUAUUGGUUGGUGGUACAUUGAACACAGUAAUCACUACAUUUCCUGGAAAUUUUGAAUUCACAAGCACAGAAACUUCUGAUGAAGAUGGUCAUUAACAGCUGCAGAUGCCCCAAGGGGGACGGUGGUUGGCCAGAUAUAGUUACUUGCCUUUUGUUUCAAUCUCAUUUUUGCAUGAACCGCCCUUCCGGGUUUUCGG